ACGUGUGAUCUUCUGAUCGGGUUGCCAUUUCUUCUUCCAGAGAAUCUUCCCAACCCAGGAAUCUAACCCAGGUCUCCUGCAUUGCAGUCAUAUUCUUUACCAUCUGAGCCACCAGGGAAGCCUCCAAUACAUUAGAGGUUAGUUUUAAAAGAUGAGUCAGAGCUCUACAACAAGGAGAGGCAUAUUAUUUGCAGAAAGCAUCAUGAACCAAGAGAUGCAGCCUAGUGUCAUUUGGAUCAGGUAAAAUAUCCUGGUGACUGGAUGAUAAAGUGUGGUGGGGAUGAGGUUGUAAGACAAAAUGCUACAGAUAUAACAUUGUUAGCACAGCUGAGACUAUAGAGGAGGGGUCUUAAGUGCUGUGCCAAAGAAUGCAUCAUGGGCCUCUGAGGACCGUGGAAACUUACCUAUCUCAUGGACAUCUCUAAAUUUCUAGUCGUUCUACUUUAGGACAACUCUAAACUCUUAUGAGAAUUUUAUAUCACUGGAUCAUAUUCUUCAGGGACUGUUGGAAUGGGAUGGGAAAUUUACAAGGGAGUAUUCAUGUGGUACCACAUGUUGAGAUCAAACUUUCAUUCUUGAGUGCAGAAGCUAACAUUCCAGAUAUUUGUGCACACAGUUUAUGUCUGGAUUUUUCUUUCAAAUGUGUAAAGGGCCAAGGUAGAUAUGUUUACUCAAGAAGUUACAUUAUCGUCUGUGCCCUUUGGAAAACUUGAUUUUGCAGUGGCGCCUUAUUGCUUAAUGCUGAGAGAGGCAGAGGUUAUGGGGCUAGUGACAAAGUCUCUUUUCUUAGGCAGCUGCCAUACUCUCUGAGCCUAAGUGGAUUCUUCCUAAAAUGUGCUUCCCCAAGUGGCUACUUUUACUGCCUAUCCAGUUGGUUAAUUUUCAAUGGAUGUCAGCAUUUGCUGCUAAGUUGAUCUGGAAAGCUCUCUAAUUUAACUCUUCAUAUGUAUUACUGUUCCCUGAUGAUAAUGGUGAUAAUUUUAAUUGUGGCUUCAGAUUUAACAAAGUAAUUUAAGUAAAUUGCUUUCUAACAGAGAAGGAGAGAGAGAGAGGAUGCAUCGGGUGUGGCUCUUAGAUACAUGGAUUUUCUUGUUGGGGAAGUUGCAUUCAAUUACAUGUUUAUUUCAUAUACUGAUGAAAUGAUGAACAUGCCUUCAGUACAUGUUUAUUUCAUAUACUGAUGAACUUAGCUCCUGGCUGGGAGCGAAGAAAUUAUUUUCUGGUCUGCUGCCAUUGUGAUUUGUGCCUUCCUUAAAGCCUUUUGAUGCUUUCUCAUUUACUAAUGAUAAUAUUCCUCCCCUAGAUUAAUAAGGCCCUACAAGGGCCUGGGUCUUGCUUAUACUUUCUCCAGUCCUCUCUUGGACAAUAUGAGUCUUGGUUCACUUCUUGGAACUUGCGCUGUUUUCUCCUACCAUAGCUUUUAUGCAUCUAUUUCCUCUACUGGAAAUGGAUGUGUUUUUCUUCCUUUUUCCUGUUAUUGAGUCGAAAGUUGUACUUCUCACCUCACAACAGGCUGAUACAUUGAGAAAUGAGUUCUUGGGGCAAGGGAUAAUGAAAUGACUUUAUUUGGAAAGCCAGCAGACUAAGAUGAUGGAGUAGUGUCCCAAAGAACCAUCUUGCCCAGGGUGUGAAUAGUGUCUUUUGUAGAACAAAGAUGAGGAGGUAAAGCGGUAAAGUAAAAAGAGGUGAUAAAUUGUGCAAAUAUUUCCUGGUCCCUACCAGACUCUGGAGGGACUGUGUUGAUGUCAUCCUUCCUGCAGCUAUUCACAGGUGGGCCUGGUCAGAAUGUUUCCUGUGAGCUACACCAGCAGUCCCUUCUCUUUUUGGCACCAGGGGCUAGUUUCAUGGAAGACUGUUUUCCCACAGACUUGGGUGGGGAGGGAUGGUUUGGGGAUGCUUCAAGCGCAUUGUAUUUAUUAUACUGCUGCUAAUAUGACAGGAGUCAGAGUGAAGGAGGUAAUGCAAGUGAUGGGGAGCAGCUGUAAAUACAGAAAAAGCUUCACUCUCACACCUACCCCCAUUGCUUACCCCCUGCUAUGCAGCCCAUGCCCAAUUCCUAACAGUCCUGAACCGGUACUGGUCUGUGGCCAAGGGUUUCUGGACCCUUGAGCUAAGCAAAGGUAUUUUAGCUUAACACUCAGGCAUGAGAGGCAGGAUUCCUGAAGAUGGGUCAUUAUAUAUACUUUAAGCUAUAGGCAGUAUCACUUUAGUGAUUAAAGGGAAAAGCAACAGGAUAGAAUACAAAGGCUAAAGUAAAAGAAACAGAGUCAGAUUUGCUUUUCCCUGUAUACCUCUGCUUCUUCCCAGUUCUCCUGUCAGUUUCAACUCAGUUGAUAUUACUUGGAAGAAUUAUAUUCUAAGCUCUUGCGUAUAUCAAAUCCUGCUAUAAGAUCAUAUAACAUUGGUAUAAUUGUACUUGUCAAUUACAAUUUUACAUUAAUUUUAUAUGAUUUGCUUAAAGUCUUACUUUUUCACUAAAAUAUAGAAACCCUGUCAAUCUUGCUCAUCGGGAGUCUCAAUGGUGUUCAGUUCAGUUGCUCACUCUUCCAAUUCUGUGCAACCACAUGAACUGCAGCAUGCCAGGCUUCCCUGUCCAUCACCAACAUCCAGAGCUUGCUCAAACUCAUGUCCAUAG